UACAGAGGGUGCGAGCGUUGUCCGGAAUCACUGGGCGUAAAGGGCGCGUAGGCGGCGCGGUAAGCGUGCGGUGAAAGCCCGGGGCUCAACCCCGGGUCGGCCGUGCGGACUGCCGGGCUGGAGCACUGUAGGAGGCAGGUGGGAAUUCCGGGUGUAGCGGUGGAAUGCGUAGAGAUCCGGAAGAACACCGGUGGCGAAGGCGGCCUGCUGGGCAGUAGCUGACGCUGAAGCGCGACAGCGUGGGGAGCAAACAGG
rnacentral:rRNA from 1 species